CCUACGGGGGGCAGCAGUAGGGAAUCUUCCACAAUGGGCGAAAGCCUGAUGGAGCAACGCCGCGUGGGUGAAGAAGGUCUUCGGAUCGUAAAACCCUGUUGUUAGAGAAGAAAGUGCGUGAGAGUAACUGUUCACGUUUCGACGGUAUCUAACCAGACAGCCACGGCUAACUACGUGCCAGCAGCCGCGGUAAUACGUAGGUGGCAAGCGUUAUCCGGAUUUAUUGGGCGUAAAGGGAACGCAGGCGGUCUUUUAAGUCUGAUGUGAAAGCCUUCGGCUUAACCGGAGUAGUGCAUUGGAAACUGGGAGACUGGAGUGCAGAAGAGGAGAGUGGAACUCCAUGUGUAGCGGUGAAAUGCGUAGAUAUAUGGAAGAACACCAGUGGCGAAAGCGGCUCUCUGGUCUGUAACUGACGCUGAGGUUCGAAAGUGUGGGUAGCAAACAGGAUUAGAUACCCUUGUAGUC
rnacentral:rRNA from 1 species